GAACGCACAUUGCGCCCUAUGGUAUUCCGUAGGGCAUGCCUGUCUGAGCGUCAACUCCCACCCUCUCAAGUCUUUCUUUUGCUAGGAGAUUUGGAUUGCUUUGAGGAAGUAUCAUUUUUUUUAUGCUGCUCCUCAGAAAUUUAUAGGCAGUAUGGUCAAACCUGAACCAGGCGUAAUAAUUCUAUAAAAUCGUCUAAUGAAAGGAAAGUCUGUAUUAGUCUUUAACCAAUUUCUAUUUUUUUUUUUUUUUGGGUGACCUCAGAUCAGGUAGGGAUACCCGCUGAACUUAAG
rnacentral:misc_RNA from 1 species